rnacentral:lncRNA from 1 species
CUACAGUGCAACCACAAACGUGAAGAUGUCUUUGUAACGUGGUGCAGCCAUUUUCGCCCGUCAGCGCCCAAAUUGAUUGCUGCAUCCAUUUCAUUCAUGGCUCCUAUAACUCCCUUGAGGAUUCAGCUCCGGCAGAGAGAGAUCAAGAGAGCAGGCAAAAUGACCAGUCAUCGAAACCUUCCUGGAAAACAAAGAUCUUUCCAAUCUAAUCACUAUUUUGAAGAAGAUAUAAAGUUGAUCAUUGAUAUCUAUCAAUAUACCUCUUGUAUGAAUACUGUUUUUUAAUUUACUGAUCAAGGGAUAAAAUAUAUUUCAGAUGACAUUUGAUGUAGUCUGUCAUUUUUCAAUGAGUAUAAGAGGAUAGUUACUCUAAUAUCAUACUGAUGUUACUCGGACAUGAUGUCCGUGUAACAUAGGUAACUGGAGGUGUUGAGGUGAAUAUAGACCAUAAAUCUUGCAGGUUUCCUUUCAAUUGUGUUAUCAUCUCAUUAAAUAUGUUUCAUGCAUCAAUUAAUUGGCACAUUUCAUGGAAUGUAGCCAAGAUUUUCUAUGCAAGAGAAAAGAUUACCCUUUAGAAAAAAACAUGAUCUGAAGAUUGCUAGUUCCUCAUUUGUUUCAUGUUUAUAAAUUGAUAUAAUGUUGCUGUGUUCAAGUUUUAAGUAUUCUAAACUAUUGCUCCCAUCAUCUAAAUGUUUUCCACACACAAAAAAGUGGAGUACAGACUGUGACAAAGUUUCAGAUCAGAAAAUAAAUGAGCAAGUAAAAAAAGA